rnacentral:pre_miRNA from 1 species
GUGUGUCGAUGGUGUUCAGCACCAGGGAAAUGUGUGUUUACCUGUGUGUGGAGGGUGUUCAGCUCCAGGGAAAGGUGUGUUUACCU